CAAGAUGGUGGAUGAGGAGGUCCCUUGUUCAUAUUCCUUCAUAGCAACAAUUAUUUGGCAGACAUCCUAGAGGAAGAAUGCCUUUGUGAAAGCUCUGGAUCCAGGCAGGAGAUUGUGAAACCCUGAUGGAGCCCAAGACUUAAGAAGGCCAUUUGGAGAAAGCAAGCCCAUACCCACAUGGUAGACUCAACACCUGUGUUUCUGGCUACAGACCCAGAAGUGGCCCUGGGCUCCUAUGGACUUGCUACAGCCCUGUUUGGCAUUGGCCCUAUGGACUAUGCAAAGUUUCAUGUCAACUUGAAGGACUGAACAGAGAUGGAGAAAGGCCUCAUGUCCAGUUCCUUUCACUCCUAAGGUCUUCAAGUCAAUGCACUAAAUUCUAGAGUACUUGAGAUUUGCAGCACCCAAGUGUGGGAACCACUAACCACAGGUGGCCACUGAAAACUUUAAAUGUGGCCACUUCAAACUGAGACGUCGUAUAACCACAAAACACACCAGCUUUCAAUGAUCUUUUUUUUGAAAAAAGUGAAUAAACAUC